rnacentral:tRNA from 1 species
AGAAAUAUGUUGACCAAGAAAAAGCUGCUAACUUUUUUCUUUAGUGGUUUAAUUCCAUUAAUGUUUCUA